GACGAACGCUGGCGGCGUGCUUAACACAUGCAAGUCGAACGGAAAGGCCCUGCUUUUGUGGGGUGCUCGAGUGGCGAACGGGUGAGUAACACGUGAGUAACCUGCCCUUGACUUUGGGGUAACUUCAGGAAACUGGGGCUAAUACCGGAUAGGAGCUCCUGCUGCAUGGUGGGGGUUGGAAAGUUUCGGCGGUUGGGGAUGGACUCGCGGCUUAUCAGCUUGUUGGUGGGGUAGUGGCUUACCAAGGCUUUGACGGGUAGCCGGCCUGAGAGGGUGACCGGCCACAUUGGGACUGAGAUACGGCCCAGACUCCUACGGGAGGCAGCAGUGGGGAAUAUUGCACAAUGGGCGGAAGCCUGAUGCAGCAACGCCGCGUGCGGGAUGACGGCCUUCGGGUUGUAAACCGCUUUCGCCUGUGACGAAGCGUGAGUGACGGUAAUGGGUAAAGAAACACCGGCUAACUACGU
rnacentral:rRNA from 1 species